rnacentral:rRNA from 1 species
UACGUAGGUGGCGAGCGUUAUCCGGAAUUAUUGGGCGUAAAGAGCGCGCAGGUGGUUGAUUAAGUCUGAUGUGAAAGCCCACGGCUUAACCGUGGAGGGUCAUUGGAAACUGGUCAACUUGAGUGCAGAAGAGGGAAGUGGAAUUCCAUGUGUAGCGGUGAAAUGCGUAGAGAUAUGGAGGAAUACCAGUGGCGAAGGCUACUUUCUGGACUUAUACUGACGCUGAGGAACGAAAGCGUGGGGAGCAAACGGGAUUAGAUACCCGGGUAGUCCCU